rnacentral:lncRNA from 1 species
UCAAGACCAUCCUGGGCAACACAGCUCCCAGCUACUCAGGAGGCUGAGGUAGGAGGAUCACUUGAGCCCAGGAGACUGAGGCUGCAGUGAGCUGUGAUCAUGCAACUGCACUCCAUCGUGGGUAAGAGUGAGACCCUGUCUCAAAACAAAAUAAAAUAAAGAAGAAGUAAUAUAUAGAGAUCCCAUAUUCACUUUCCCAGUUUUCUGUAAUGGUAAUAUUUUGCAAAUUUAUAGUUUAAUAUCACAACCAAGAUAUUGACAUUGAUACAAUCCCCCAUCGAUCUCAGAUUUCCCCAGUUUUGUUUAUACUCAUUUGUGCAUGUGUGCAUGUGAAUGCAUAUGGUGUUUAGUUCUACACAGUUUUAUCACGUGUAGGGUUGUGUUUCCACCACCACAAUCAAAAUACUGAAAUUUUCAUCACCACUAGAAUGGCUUGUGUUGCCCUAUUAUACCUACAUCCACUUUCCCAUAGCAUUCCCCAUUGCCACCCCAGCCUUCAACCUCUGGCAACCACUGUUCUCCAAUUCUAAAGUU